UGUUGCCAAGCUGUGCAUUUAAAUGGAAGGAGGAGAAACAGAUGGGGAAAUCACUCUUCAGACAGUGUUUACUAGCACAAUCAGCACCUGAGGCAGCACUUAUUCAGGUGCUGAAAUUACAGAGAUAUUGGGGAACAGCACGGAGGAAGAGAAUCAAAGAUUAAAUGAUGGAGAAAAAGUGUUGUACUCUGGAUCCAGAAGGACAAAAUGGGCAGGAACAGGGACUGCACUUACAAAAUAAAUGGGAUGUCUCUCUGUUGUGAGGUUUACCGAGCAUCAGACACAUAUAUAAUGAAAAUAAAUUGCCUGGCUUCAAUCUUCAUUAGCUAAUGAAGUAUGCUAUAGAAAUACAAAGCUGUUGGAGUGUG